CCCUGGUGACACACCACCUGUGAGUCCCUUGGAAAGCAGAGCCACCCCACCCACACUCAGCAGCUGAAAAUGCCUGACUCUUGCUUCCCCAUCGUCCCCUGCAACCAGGAAAGGACACGCGACGGGGUCGGCCCGUAGGAGGCACCUGCCCCAGGUGUGGGGGUCCCUUCAGAAGCAGAGGCUUGGCUUCUGUUUCUGGCAAAACCCUGGCCGAUGACACCACCCCAUCUUCUCCCUCACGGCUCAGUUGUCCCCAGCACCUGCCUCCCCCCACCCAAGCGCAUGGAGCACGAAACAGCUGGGACCCCUCGCAGGUCCCACGGUUCAGCAGGUCCAAGGGAUCUCCUUCUCCUGAGACCUGGGGCUGGCACUGAGCACAGCCCAGUUUGGGGGCUUUGCUGAAGCAGCUCCUUCCCAGACCCUUCAUCUCCCUUCCAACACACUGAGUGACCUCUGGGGCACGGCCCCCGCUGACGCAGAGGAGGACCCUCUGGAGAGCCAGCAGCGUGGGGGUAGGGAGAGCCCUGGGGAGGUGCCGGGGCCCUUGCAGCUUCGGGAGGCUGUGCAUCCUCUCCACCAUGUGCCUGAUUGCCCCACGUCCGUCACCCACAUCCUGCCUCAUAACCACAGCCUCACCGGGACAGCGACAUCUCCCGGACACGUCUUCCUGUGGCUUCUUCACGGAUCCCUGGCUCCUGUCUGCCUCUCGGGGUCCCUGCAGCCCGCGGUCACUGUGGUGCUGGCACGCAGGCCACCUUCCCUCGGCCCACUCCCAGCCGGCCCCCACCCCCUGCCUGAGGCCCUGAGGGAGGCCCCCUCUACCUGCCCCACGGGGAAGCCAGAAGUGCCCCCGCCCCGGCCCAGAACAGCCUUCACCCAAUGGCUGAUGGGAGGUGGG